CUACGGGAUGCAGCAGUGCGGAAUAUUGCGCAAUGGGUGAAACCCUGAACGCAGCAACGCCGCGUGAAUGAUGAAGGUCUUCGGGUUGUAAAGUUCUGUCUUAUGGGACGAUAAUGACGGUACCAGAGGAGGAAGCCAUGGCUAACUACGUGCCAGCAGCCGCGGUAAU
rnacentral:rRNA from 1 species